GGGUAUUAUCUCAGUGGUCGAGCGCCUGCAUAACAGGCAGGAGGUCCUGGGUUCAAUCCCCAGGAUUUCCA
rnacentral:tRNA from 1 species